rnacentral:rRNA from 1 species
GACGAACGCUGGCGGCGUGCUUAACACAUGCAAGUCGAACGGAAAGGCCCUGCUUUUGUGGGGUGCUCGAGUGGCGAACGGGUGAGUAACACGUGAGUAACCUACCCUUGACUUUGGGAUAACUUCAGGAAACUGGGGCUAAUACCGGAUAGGAGCUCCUGCUGCAUGGUGGGGGUUGGAAAGUUUCGGCGGUUGGGGAUGGACUCGCGGCUUAUCAGCUUGUUGGUGGGGUAGUGGCUUACCAAGGCUUUGACGGGUAGCCGGCCUGAGAGGGUGACCGGCCACAUUGGGACUGAGAUACGGCCCAGACUCCUACGGGAGGCAGCAGUGGGGAAUAUUGCACAAUGGGCGGAAGCCUGAUGCAGCAACGCCGCGUGCGGGAUGACGGCCUUCGGGUGGUAAACCGCUUUCGCCUGUGACGAAGCGUGAGUGACGGUAAUGGGUAAAGAAGCACCGGCUAACUACGU